AGAGUUUGAUCCUGGCUCAGGACGAACGCUGGCGGCGUGCCUAACACAUGCAAGUCGUACGAGAAAAUCCGCUUCGGCGGGUGAGUAAAGUGGCGCACGGGUGAGUAACGCGUGGAUAAUCUGCCUUUAAGCGGGGAAUAACUUACCGAAAGGUGGGCUAAUACCCCAUAAAGCUAUGGAGCUCCGGUUUUCAUAGCCAAAGAGAGCCUCUGCAUGCAAGCCCUCACUUAGAGAUGAGUCCGCGUACCAUUAGCUAGUUGGUGGGGUAAUGGCCUACCAAGGCGACGAUGGUUAGCUGGUCUGAGAGGGUGAUCAGCCACACUGGAACUGAGACACGGUCCAGACUCCUACGGGAGGCAGCAGUGAGGAAUAUUGCGCAAUGGGGGCAACCCUGACGCAGCAACGCCGCGUGAGUGAGGAAGGUUUUCGGAUCGUAAAGCUCUGUCGGGUGGGAAGAAAUGUAUGGAGGUUAACAGCCUUUGUACUUGACGGUACCGCCAAAGGAAGCACCGGCUAACUCCGUGCCAGCAGCCGCGGUAAUACGGGGGGUGCUAGCGUUGUUCGGAAUCAUUGGGCGUAAAGAGCGUGUAGGCGGCUAGGCAAGUCAGAUGUGAAAUCCCUGGGCUUAACCCAGGACGUGCAUUUGAAACUGCUUGGCUUGGGUAGGGAAGAGGGAAGUGGAAUUCCUGGUGUAGAGGUGAAAUUCGUAGAUAUCAGGAGGAACACCGGUGGUGAAGGCGACUUCCUGGUCCUAUACUGACGCUGAGACGCGAGAGCGUGGGGAGCAAACAGGAUUAGAUACCCUGGUAGUCCACGCCGUAAACGAUGUUAACGAGGUGUUGAGGGUAUUGACCCCUUCAGUGCCGAAGCUAACGCAUUAAGGAACCGCCUGG
rnacentral:rRNA from 1 species